GCCCGCGUGGUGGAAUUGGUAGACACAAGGGACUUAAAAUCCCUCGGCCGAUAAGGCCGUGCCGGUUCGAGUCCGGCCGCGGGCACCA
rnacentral:tRNA from 1 species